rnacentral:rRNA from 1 species
CCUANGGGUGGCAGCAGUAGGGAAUAUUGGGAAUGGGCGCAAGCCUGACCCAGCAACGCCGCGUGAGUGAUGAAGGCCUUCGGGUUGUAAAACUCUUUUCACCGGGAAGAGGAAGGACGGUACCGGUGGAAUAAGUCUCGGCUAACUACGUGCCAGCAGCCGCGGUAACACGUAGGAGACAAGCGUUAUCCGGAUUUACUGGGUGUAAAGCGCGUGCAGGCGGUCUGGUAAGUUGGAUGUGAAAGCUCCUGGCUUAACUGGGAGAGGUCGUUCAAUACUGCUGGACUAGAGGAUGGCAGAGGGGAGUGGAAUUCCGAGUGUAGCGGUAAAAUGCAUAGAUAUUCGGAAGAACACCAGUGGCGAAGGCGGCUCUCUGGGCCAUUUCUGACGCUCAGACGCGAAAGCUAGGGUAGCAAACGGGAUUAGAUACCCGUNUANUC